rnacentral:rRNA from 1 species
UACAGAGGGUGCGAGCGUUAAUCGGAAUUACUGGGCGUAAAGGGCGCGUAGGUGGGCGAACAAGUCGGAUGUGAAAUCCCUGGGCUUAACCUGGGAACGGCAUACGAUACUGUUAGUCUAGAGUUGGGUAGAGGGAAGUGGAAUUUCCGGUGUAGCGGUGAAAUGCGUAGAUAUCGGAAGGAACACCAGUGGCGAAGGCGGCUUUCUGGACCCAAACUGACACUGAGGCGCGAAAGCGUGGGUAGCAAACAGG